CUACGGGGCGCUGCAGUGAGGAAUAUUGCACAAUGGGGGGAACCCUGAUGCAGCAACGCCGCGUGGAGGAUGACGCAUUUCGGUGUGUAAACUCCUUUUAUAUGUCAAGAAAAUGACGGUAGCAUAUGAAUAAGCACCGGCUAACUCCGUGCCAGCAGCCGCGGUAAUACGGAGGGUGCAAGCGUUACUCGGAAUCACUGGGCGUAAAGGACGCGUAGGCGGGUUGGAAAGUCAGGUGUGAAAUCCUACAGCUUAACUGUAGAACUGCACUUGAAACUUCUGAUCUAGAGUAUGGGAGGGGGAGAUGGAAUUAGUGGUGUAGGGGUAAAAUCCGUAGAUAUCACUAGGAAUACCUAAAGCGAAGGCGAUCUCCCGGAACAUUACUGACGCUAAGGCGUGAAAGCGUGGGGAGCAAAUAGGAUUAGAUACCCGCGUAGUC
rnacentral:rRNA from 1 species